GCGUAAAGAGCUUGUAGGCGGCUUGUCGCGUCUGCUGUGAAAACCCGGGGCUUAACCCCGGGCUUGCAGUGGGUACGGGCAGGCUAGAGUGUGGUAGGGGAGACUGGAAUUCCUGGUGUAGCGGUGGAAUGCGCAGAUAUCAGGAGGAACACCGAUGGCGAAGGCAGGUCUCUGGGCCAUUACUGACGCUGAGAAGCGAAAGCGUGGGGAGCGAACAGGAUUAGAUACCCUGGUAGUCCACGCCGUAAACGUUGGGCGCUAGGUGUGGGUCCCAUUCCACGGGGUCCGUGCCGCAGCUAACGCAUUAAGCGCCCCGCCUGGGGAGUACGGCCGCAAGGCUAAAGCUCAAAGGAAUUGACGGGGGCCCGCAACAAGCGGCGGAGCAUGCGGAUUAAUUCGAUGCAACGCGAAGAACCUUACCAAGGCUUGACAUAUACCGGAAACCUCCAGAGAUGGGGGCCCCGCAAGGUCGGUAUACAGGUGGUGCAUGGUUGUCGUCAGCUCGUGUCGUGAGAUGUUGGGUUAAGUCCCGCAACGAGCGCAACCCUCGUUCUAUGUUGCCAGCACGUGAUGGUGGGGACUCAUAGGAGACUGCCGGGGUCAACUCGGAGGAAGGUGGGGAUGACGUCAAAUCAUCAUGCCCCUUACGUCUUGGGCUUCACGCAUGCUACAAUGGCCGGUACAGAGGGCUGCGAAACCGUGAGGUGGAGCGAAUCCCUUAAAGCUGGUCUCAGUUCGGAUUGGGGUCUGCAACUCGACCCCAUGAAGUCGGAGUCGCUAGUAAUCG
rnacentral:rRNA from 1 species